rnacentral:rRNA from 1 species
GAUGAACGCUGGCGGCGUGCCUAAUACAUGCAAGUCGAGCGAAAGGAUUAAGAGCUUACUCUUAUGAAGUUAGCGGCGGACGGGUGAGUAACACGUGGGUAACCUGCCCAUAAGACUGGGAUAACUCCGGGAAACCGGGGCUAAUACCGGAUAACAUUUUGAACCGCAUGGUUCGGAAUUGAAAGGCGGCUUCGGCUGUCACUUAUGGAUGGUCCCGCGUCGCAUUAGCUGGUUGGUGAGGUAACGGAUCACCAAGGCAACGAUGCGUAGCCGACCUGAGAGGGUGAGCGGCCACACUGGGACUGAGACACGGCCCAGACUCCUACGGGAGGCAGCAGUAGGGAAUCUGCCGCAAUGGACGAAAGUCUGACGGAGCAACGCCGCGUGAGUGAUGAAGGCUUUCGGGUCGUAAAACUCUGUUGUUAGGGAAGAACAAGUGCUAGUUGAAUAAGCUGGCACCUUGACGGUACCUAACCAGAAAGCCACGGCUAACUACGUGCCAGCCGCCGCGGUAA